rnacentral:rRNA from 1 species
AGUGAACGCUGGCGGUAGGCCUAACACAUGCAAGUCGAACGGCAGCACAGUAAGAGCUUGCUCUUACGGGUGGCGAGUGGCGGACGGGUGAGGAAUACAUCGGAAUCUACUUUUUCGUGGGGGAUAACGUAGGGAAACUUACGCUAAUACCGCAUACGACCUACGGGUGAAAGUAGGGGAUCUUCGGACCUUGCGCGAUUGAAUGAGCCGAUGUCGGAUUAGCUAGUUGGCGGGGUAAAGGCCCACCAAGGGGACGAUCCGUAGCUGGUCUGAGAGGAUGAACCGCCACACUGGAGCUGAGACACCGCCCUGGCUCCUACGGGCGGCCGCGGUUGGGACUAGUGGCAAAAGGGCGGAAGCCUGAUCCAGCCAUGCCGCGUGGAUGAAGCAGGCCUUCGGGUUGUAAAGCCCUUUUGUUGGGAAAGAAAAGCAGCAGGUUAAUACCCCGCUGUUCGGCCGGUACCCAAAGAAUAAGCCCCGGCUAACUUCGU